AUACGUAGGGUGCAAGCGUUAAUCGGAAUUACUGGGCGUAAAGCGUGCGCAGGCGGUUUUGUAAGACAGUGGUGAAAUCCCCGGGCUCAACCUGGGAACUGCCAUUGUGACUGCAAGGCUGGAGUGCGGCAGAGGGGGAUGGAAUUCCGCGUGUAGCAGUGAAAUGCGUAGAUAUGCGGAGGAACACCGAUGGCGAAGGCAAUCCCCUGGGCCUGCACUGACGCUCAUGCACGAAAGCGUGGGGAGCAAACAGGAUUAGAUACCCUGGUAGUCCACGCCCUAAACGAUGUCAACUGGUUGUUGGGGAUUUAUUUUCUCAGUAACGAAGCUAACGCGUGAAGUUGACCGCCUGGGGAGUACGGCCGCAAGGUUAAAACUUAAAGGAAUUGACGGGG
rnacentral:rRNA from 1 species